rnacentral:tRNA from 1 species
GCGGGUAGAGCUCAGUGGUAGAGAGCGUGCUUAGCACACACGAAGUCCUGGGUUCAAUCCCUAGGACCUCCA